CGCCCGUGAUGAAUCAAUUGUGCUAACCACCCAAAUGGUCGCUGAUCAAUCCCUUCGGGGUGCGACGGUGACCGGCUGCGUGGGACCCCGGUUGGUAGUAGUCAAGCGAC
rnacentral:rRNA from 1 species